rnacentral:rRNA from 1 species
ACGCUCGACACCUACGGGAGGCAGCAGUGGGGAAUAUUGCACAAUGGGGGAAACCCUGAUGCAGCGACGCCGCGUGGAGGAAGAAGGUCUUCGGAUUGUAAACUCCUGUUGUUGGGGAAAAANGGAUGGUACCCCAACAAGGAAGUGACGGCUAACUACGUGCAAGCAGCCGCGGUAAUCUGAGCGGCUGCAAGGC